CCACUAUGAGUCAGUCACCCACCUUAUAUCAGAGAAAGCAUUCGCCAUUUGUUUUUUUGGGAUUGGCUAACUUCACUUAGCAUUAUCUAAUCCAGUUGCAUCCCAUUUACCUGCAAAUGCCAUGAUUUUAUUCUCUUUUAUUGCUGAGUAAUAUUCCAUUGUGUAUAUAUGCCACAUUUCUUUAAUCCACUCAUCUACUGAAGAGCAUCUAGGUUGGUUCCACAGUUUAGCUAUUGCGAAUUGUGCUGCUCUAAACAUUGAUGUGUCUGUGUCCCUGUAGUAUGCUGUUUUUAAAUCCUUUGGGUAUAGACCGAGGAGAGGGAUAGCUGGGUCAAAUGGUGGUUCCAUUCUAAGUUUUCCAAGGAAUCUCCAUACUGCUUUCCAUAUUGGCUGCACCAAUUUCAGUCCCAUAAGCAAUGUAUGAGUGUGCCUUUCCCCCCACAUCCUCGCCAACACUUAUUGUUGUUUGUCUUCAUAAUGGCUGCCAUUCUGACUGGAGUGAGAUGGUAUCUUAGAGUAGUUUUGAUUUGUAUUUCUCUAAUUGCUAGAGAUGACGAACAUUUUUUCAUAUAUUUGUUGAUUGGUUGAGUAUCCUUUUGUCUUAUAUUAGACAAAGGCACCAAAAACAUGCACUGGAGAAAAGAUAGCCUCUUCAACAAAUGCUGCUGGGAAAACUGGAAAUCCAUAUGCAACAAAAUGAAAUUAAACUCCUAUCUCACCAUGCACAAAACUCAACUCAAAGUGGAUCAAGGACUUAGGAAUUAAACCAGAGACUCUCCGUGUAAUAGAAGAAAAAGUAGGCCCUAAUCUUCAUCAUGUGGGAUUAGGCCCCAACUUCCUUAAUAAGACUCCUAUAGCAUAAGAAUUAAAACCAAGAAUCAAUAAAUGGGAUGGACUCAAACUAAAAAGUUUCUUCUCAGCAAAAGAAACAAUCUGUGAGGUGAAUAGAGGACCUACAUCUUGGAAGCAAAUUUUUACCCCUCACUCAUCAGAUAGGGCACUAAUCUCUAGGGUAUGUAAAGAACUCAAAAAGCUAAAAACCAAAUAACCCAAUCAAUAAAUGGGCCAAAGAUAUAAUUCUCUUUGAAGGUCAAACAAUGAGAAUAGAUAAUGCCAUGCUUUGGAGUGUGGAGAAUAUCUCUGUUGGCAGCAAAUUUGCUUUUUUAGUUCUGUAAUGAGAAAAUUAUGUUGCUCACAGGUA
rnacentral:lncRNA from 1 species